CCUACGGGUGGCAGCAGUGAGGAAUAUUGGUCAAUGGGCGAGAGCCUGAACCAGCCAAGUCGCGUGAGGGAGUACUGCCCUAUGGGUUGUAAACCUCUUUUGUCGGGGAGCAAAUGCCGGACGUGUCCGGCUGUGCGAGUACACGCAGAAAAAGCACCGGCUAUCUCUGGGCCAGCAGCCGCGGUAAUACGGAGGAUGCGAGCGUUAUCCGGAUUUAUUGGGUUUAAAGGGUGCGCAGGCGGAGUUUUAAGUCAGCGGUCAAAUCGUGGGGCUCAACCCCACCCCGCCGUUGAAACUGGGGGUCGUGAGUGUGCGAGAGGUAUGCGGAAUGCGUGGUGUAGCGGUGAAAUGCAUAGAUAUCACGCAGAACCCCGAUUGCGAAGGCAGCAUACCGGUGCACAACUGACGCUCAGGCACGAAAGCGUGGGUAUCGAACAGGAUUAGAUACCCCGGUAGUC
rnacentral:rRNA from 1 species